UACGAAGGGGGCUAGCGUUGUUCGGAAUUACUGGGCGUAAAGCGCGCGCAGGCGGUUCUUCAAGUCCGAGGUGAAAGCCCAGGGCUCAACCCUGGAAUGGCCUUUGAGACUAGAGGACUUGGGUACGGGAGAGGUGAGUGGAAUUCCGAGUGUAGAGGUGAAAUUCGUAGAUAUUCGGAAGAACACCAGUGGCGAAGGCGGCUCACUGGCCCGUUACCGACGCUCAGGCGCGACAGCGUGGGGAGCAAACGGG
rnacentral:rRNA from 1 species